GGGGAGCAUACUCACAGCGUCGAAUGGUGUACGUAAGUUAUCCUGGAGCGGUGAGUAAAGCAAAUGUAGGAAUAAGUAACGAUAAGGAGGGUUAGAUUCCCUCCCGCUGUAAGACCAAGGUUUCCCGGGCAAUGCCAAUCAGCCCGGGGUCAGUCGGGUCCUAAGUCUAAGCCGAACGGCGAUGGCGAUGGCAGAGACGGUUAAUAUUCCGUCACUGCCGCAUGGGGCGACGUGGAGACGGAGCAGUGAAACCACCGCGGGGCGACGGAAGUCCCCGUUGAAGAGUGUAGGUGUUGAGGAUGGCAGGCAAAUCCACC
rnacentral:rRNA from 1 species